UUAAAUUGAAGAGUUUGAUCAUGGCUCAGAUUGAACGCUGGCGGCAGGCCUAACACAUGCAAGUCGAACGGUAACAGGAAGCAGCUUGCUGCUUUGCUGACGAGUGGCGGACGGGUGAGUAAUGUCUGGGAAACUGCCUGAUGGAGGGGGAUAACUACUGGAAACGGUGGCUAAUACCGCAUAACGUCGCAAGACCAAAGAGGGGGACCUUCGGGCCUCUUGCCAUCAGAUGUGCCCAGAUGGGAUUAGCUUGUUGGUGAGGUAACGGCUCACCAAGGCGACGAUCCCUAGCUGGUCUGAGAGGAUGACCAGCCACACUGGAACUGAGACACGGUCCAGACUCCUACGGGAGGCAGCAGUGGGGAAUAUUGCACAAUGGGCGCAAGCCUGAUGCAGCCAUGCCGCGUGUAUGAAGAAGGCCUUCGGGUUGUAAAGUACUUUCAGCGGGGAGGAAGGUGUUGUGGUUAAUAACCGCAGCAAUUGACGUUACCCGCAGAAGAAGCACCGGCUAACUCCGUGCCAGCAGCCGCGGUAAUACGGAGGGUGCAAGCGUUAAUCGGAAUUACUGGGCGUAAAGCGCACGCAGGCGGUCUGUCAAGUCGGAUGUGAAAUCCCCGGGCUCAACCUGGGAACUGCAUUCGAAACUGGCAGGCUUGAGUCUUGUAGAGGGGGGUAGAAUUCCAGGUGUAGCGGUGAAAUGCGUAGAGAUCUGGAGGAAUACCGGUGGCGAAGGCGGCCCCCUGGACAAAGACUGACGCUCAGGUGCGAAAGCGUGGGGAGCAAACAGGAUUAGAUACCCUGGUAGUCCACGCCGUAAACGAUGUCUACUUGGAGGUUGUGCCCUUGAGGCGUGGCUUCCGGAGCUAACGCGUUAAGUAGACCGCCUGGGGAGUACGGCCGCAAGGUUAAAACUCAAAUGAAUUGACGGGGGCCCGCACAAGCGGUGGAGCAUGUGGUUUAAUUCGAUGCAACGCGAAGAACCUUACCUGGUCUUGACAUCCACGGAAGAAUCCAGAGAUGGAUUUGUGCCUUCGGGAACCGUGAGACAGGUGCUGCAUGGCUGUCGUCAGCUCGUGUUGUGAAAUGUUGGGUUAAGUCCCGCAACGAGCGCAACCCUUAUCCUUUGUUGCCAGCGGUCCGGCCGGGAACUCAAAGGAGACUGCCAGUGAUAAACUGGAGGAAGGUGGGGAUGACGUCAAGUCAUCAUGGCCCUUACGACCAGGGCUACACACGUGCUACAAUGGCGCAUACAAAGAGAAGCGACCUCGCGAGAGCAAGCGGACCUCAUAAAGUGCGUCGUAGUCCGGAUUGGAGUCUGCAACUCGACUCCAUGAAGUCGGAAUCGCUAGUAAUCGUGGAUCAGAAUGCCACGGUGAAUACGUUCCCGGGCCUUGUACACACCGCCCGUCACACCAUGGGAGUGGGUUGCAAAAGAAGUAGGUAGCUUAACCUUCGGGAGGGCGCUUACCACUUUGUGAUUCAUGACUGGGGUGAAGUCGUAACAAGGUAACCGUAGGGGAACCUGCGGUUGGAUCACCUCCUUACCUGAAAGAAGC
rnacentral:rRNA from 2 species